GCCAUUUCAGUGCCAUUUCGGUGCCAUUUUGGUGCGGUUUUGGUGCCAUUUCUGUGCCAAUUUGGUGCCAUUUUGGCUCUGUUCUGGCACCGUUUCAGUGCCAUUUUGGUGCCAUUUUGGUGUCAUUUCAGUGCCAUUUUGGUGCCAUUCUGGUGCCAUUUCAGUGCCAUUUUGGUGCUUUGUUUGUCACUGU
rnacentral:lncRNA from 1 species